GUGGUAUAAAACUACAGACAGCAGGAUUCAGUGGGUUCAGGCAUGUAAAGUAAGAAGACUUUGGGAUAGACAUGAGUCUGAAAUGGAGUUGUGUCAGAAGUGGAAAGAGAAUUAUGUUACCAGAGGGGCAAAUGUCACCCAAGUGGAAAGAAGAAGAAAUGUACAUGCUGGUUAAUCACAAGAACCAGAGUCAAAUGUCUGAAGAAGGCAGCUGAAGAUGGGGAGGAAGACACUUCUGUGGGUUAUACUGAUAGUGGAAACUGUGUCCUUGGUACUUUGCUGAUAAACACAUCUGUCUCACUUUGUCUCUGGCUCUCAGGGGAGUAACAUUGACUCAUGACUUCAGGAUAAACUAGGAGUAAGGGAGAACAUUACAACACAGGCCCGUAAAGAGUGUAUCUAACAAAAGUUUGGGUAAUUUCUGGAGUGACUUUUCAAAAUGCGUGGGCUUGCUUGCUUAAAGGAAGGGUCAUUUUGCUUUAGUACUUGGAAACAGAAAUUGAAAAAUAAAUUCAAUUAUUACAUCGAGCUGAAA